ACUCCUGCGGGAGGCAGCAGUGGGGAAUUUUGGACAAUGGGCGAAAGCCUGAUCCAGCAAUGCCACGUGUGUGAAGAAGGCCUUCGGGUUGUAAAGCACUUUUGUCCGGAAAGAAAUCCUUGGCUCUAAUACAGUCGGGGGAUGACGGUACCGGAAGAAUAAGCACCGGCUAACUACGUGCCAGCAGCCGCGGUAAUACGUAGGGUGCGAGCGUUAAUCGGAAUUACUGGGCGUAAAGCGUGCGCAGGCGGUUUGCUAAGACCGAUGUGAAAUCCCCGGGCUCAACCUGGGAACUGCAUUGGUGACUGGCAGGCUAGAGUAUAGCAGAGGGGGGUAGAAUUCCACGUGUAGCAGUGAAAUGCGUAGAGAUGUGGAGGAAUACCGAUGGCGAAGGCAGCCCCCUGGGCCAAUACUGACGCUCAUGCACGAAAGCGUGGGGAGCAAACAGGAUUAGAAACCCUAGUAGUCCCAUGA
rnacentral:rRNA from 1 species